AUGGUUUAGACCUUCUGUUUCACCCAGUUACUGCAAAACCUGCAUCGUGGCAGCAUUCAAAGAUAAUUGAAGCCUUUAUGAGUCAGGGAGAGCACAAACAGGCUCUCCGCUAUCUUCAGACAAUGAAGCCAACAGUGUCCAGUAGCAGUGAUGUUCUCCUUCACCUCUCUGUUCUGCUUUUUAAUAGAUGCAUGGUUGAGGCGUGGAACUUACUGCGACAGAACUCAAACACAGUAAAUAUAGAGGAAUUGCUGAAGCAUGCUUAUGAAGUUUGUCAGGAGAUGGGCUUAAUGGAGGAUUUACUGAAGCUACCGUUUACAAACACUGAGCAGGAAUGUUUAGUGAAUUUUUUACAAUCCAGUUCCAGUGUUCAGAAUCAUGAAUUCCUUCUAGUUCACCAUUUA
rnacentral:lncRNA from 1 species